GGCCACUGCUAUGGGGGUCCGACUAAGCCAUGCGAGUCAUGGGGGUGUCCCUUCUGGGACACCACCGGCGGACGGCUCAGUAACACGUCGGUAACCUACCCUCGGGAGGGGGAUAACCCCGGGAAACUGGGGCUAAUCCCCCAUAGGUGUGGGGUACUGGAAGGUCCCCACACCGAAAAGGGCUUCGUGCCCGCCCGAGGAUGGGCCGGCGGCCGAUUAGGUAGUUGGUGGGGUAACGGCCCACCAAGCCGAAGAUCGGUACGGGCCAUGAGAGUGGGAGCCCGGAGAUGGACACUGAGACACGGGUCCAGGCCCUACGGGGCGCAGCAGGCGCGAAACCUCCGCAAUGCGGGAAACCGCGACGGGGGGACCCCCAGUGCCGUGGCAACGCCACGGCUUUUCCGGAGUGUAAAAAGCUCCGGGAAUAAGGGCUGGGCAAGGCCGGUGGCAGCCGCCGCGGUAAUACCGGCGGCCCGAGUGGUGGCCGCUAUUAUUGGGCCUAAAGCGUCCGUAGCCGGGCCCGUAAGUCCCUGGCGAAAUCCCACGGCUCAACCGUGGGGCUUGCUGGGGAUACUGCGGGCCUUGGGACCGGGAGAGGCGGGGGGUACCCCUGGGGUAGGGGUGAAAUCCUAUAAUCCCAGGGGGACCGCCAGUGGCGAAGGCGCCCCGCUGGAACGGGUCCGACGGUGAGGGACGAAGGCCAGGGGAGCGAACCGGAUUAGAUACCCGGGUAGUCCUGGCUGUAAAGGAUGCGGGCUAGGUGUCGGGCGAGCUCCGAGCUCGCCCGGUGCCGUAGGGAAGCCGUUAAGCCCGCCGCCUGGGGAGUACGGCCGCAAGGCUGAAACUUAAAGGAAUUGGCGGGGGAGCACUACAAGGGGUGGAGCGUGCGGUUUAAUUGGAUUCAACGCCGGGAACCUCACCGGGGGCGACGGCAGGAUGAAGGCCAGGCUGAAGGUCUUGCCGGACACGCCGAGAGGAGGUGCAUGGCCGCCGUCAGCUCGUACCGUGAGGCGUCCACUUAAGUGUGGUAACGAGCGAGACCCGCGCCCCCAGUUGCCAGUCCCUCCCGCUGGGAGGGAGGCACUCUGGGGGGGACGCC
rnacentral:rRNA from 1 species